UAAAUUGGAUACUGCUUGAGAGGAUUUUUUAUUUCACUGUUAAGUGUAAUGUGAAGUAAUUUCUUUUCAAGAGAUGUUCUUGGAAAGACAGCAUGUCUCUCCACAGCCGAAUUUAUUGCCCUGAAAAAAGAACAUGGGUGCGCAGAGGCAAAGGGAAGGCCACAGAAGGAGGUUGCCUUGGCAUCCAUGAGAGAUUUUCAAAAUGUUACAUUGACUUACCAGAAAAUCCCUGAGGUAUUUCAUUUUCUUACAAUAUCUUGGGAAAGAGUGUUCAUUCUGAAUUCAUGUCACUAGAGAAUUUAUGGUUAAAUAGACAAGAUGUUGAAGACCUGAAUGUGGAACAAUUGAAGAAAAUUCAAAAUGGUGACACUGUAACAACCAGCCUCACUUGCAAACUGAUUGUGCAUUGGUCCAUGAGGAAUACAAGGAACAUCACUUUGAAUUACAUAGACAGAGUGGCCAGGUGAAAGUUCCUCACUCCUGCAACUACAACUUGUGUUUCUUCAGAGCUCUAGGUUUCCCUCUCAAAGUGGUUCAUGGUGUAUCUGAUGGUUGUUCCUUUUAGAAAAUAUCUAGAAAGGUCUAUAUAUAUAAGAAUACAAAUGUAUGCAUAUAAGAAGUGAAAAGCCCAAUUUUCUCCUGCAGCCACACUAUGAUUGAAUGUACAAAUACUGCUGAAAAUAGGAAAAAAUAGUCUGACAGACAAGACACAUAAUUCAGAGAUACAGGAUGACAUACUUUGGCA